rnacentral:rRNA from 1 species
CACGUAGGGGGCGAGCGUUGUCCGGAAUCAUUGGGCGUAAAGAGCUCGUAGGCGGCUCGGUAAGUCGGGUGUGAAACCCCCAGGCUCAACCUGGGGACGCCACCCGAUACUGCUGUGGCUAGAGUCCAGUAGGGGAGUGUGGAAUUCCCGGUGUAGCGGUGAAAUGCGCAGAUAUCGGGAGGAACACCAGCGGCGAAGGCGGCACUCUGAGCUGGAACUGACGCUGAGGAGCGAAAGCGUGGGUAGCAAACAGG